rnacentral:rRNA from 1 species
UACGAACGCUGGCGGCAGGCUUAACACAUGCAAGUCGAGCGCCCCGCAAGGGGAGCGGCAGACGGGUGAGUAACGCGUGGGAACGUACCCUUCUCUGCGGAAUAGCUCCGGGAAACUGGAAUUAAUACCGCAUACGCCCUUUGGGGGAAAGAUUUAUCGGGGAAGGAUCGGCCCGCGUUGGAUUAGCUAGUUGGUGGGGUAAAGGCCUACCAAGGCGACGAUCCAUAGCUGGUCUGAGAGGAUGAUCAGCCACAUUGGGACUGAGACACGGCCCAAACUCCUACGGGAGGCAGCAGUGGGGAAUAUUGGACAAUGGGGGCAACCCUGAUCCAGCCAUGCCGCGUGAGUGAUGAAGGCCUUAGGGUUGUAAAGCUCUUUCACCGGUGAAGAUAAUGACGGUAACCGGAGAAGAAGCCCCGGCUAACUUCGUGCCAGCCGCCGCCGUAA